rnacentral:rRNA from 1 species
AGAGACAGCAGUAGCCGCGGUAAUACGUAGGUGGCAAGCGUUGUCCGGAAUUAUUGGGCGUAAAGCGCGCGCAGGCGGAUAGGUCAGUCUGUCUUAAAAGUUCGGGGCUUAACCCCGUGAUGGGAUGGAAACUGCCAAUCUAGAGUAUCGGAGAGGAAAGUGGAAUUCCUAGUGUAGCGGUGAAAUGCGUAGAUAUUAGGAAGAACACCAGUGGCGAAGGCGACUUUCUGGACGAAAACUGACGCUGAGGCGCGAAAGCCAGGGGAGCGAACGGGAUUAGAUACCCCCGUAGUCCCUGUCUCUUAUACA